UGGGGACUCGAAGACGAUCAUAU
rnacentral:miRNA from 2 species